UACAUAGGUGGCGAACGUUAUCCGGAUUUAUUGGGCGUAAAGGGUGCGUAGGUGGUUGAAUAAGUUACUGGUGGUAAAUCAGAGCUCAACUCUGUGGAAGCUGGUAAUACUAUUGAACUAGAGUAUCGGAGAGGUUGGUGGAAUUCUCGGUGUAGAGGUGAAAUUCGUAGAUAUCGAGAGGAACACCGGUGGCGAAGGCGGCCAACUGGACGAAUACUGACGCUGAGACUCGAAAGCGUGGGGAGCAAACAGG
rnacentral:rRNA from 1 species